GGGGUGCUCGAGUGGCGAACGGGUGAGUAACACGUGAGUAACCUGCCCUUGACUUUGGGAUAACUUCAGGAAACUGGGGCUAAUACCGGAUAGGAGCUCCUGCUGCAUGGUGGGGGUUGGAAAGUUUCGGCGGUUGGGGAUGGACUCGCGGCUUAUCAGCUUGUUGGUGGGGUAGUGGCUUACCAAGGCUUUGACGGGUAGCCGGCCUGAGAGGGUGACCGGCCACAUUGGGACUGAGACACGGUCCAG
rnacentral:rRNA from 1 species